rnacentral:piRNA from 1 species
UUUUGCAGACUUUUUCAAUUA